rnacentral:rRNA from 1 species
ACGGAAGGCAGCAGUGGGGGAUAUUGCACAAUGGAGGAAACUCUGAUGCAGCAACGCUGCGUGAGGGAAGAAGGUCUUCGGAUUGUAAACCUCUGUUUUUGGUGACGAAACAAAUGACGGUAGCCAAAGAGGAAGCCACGGCUAACUACGUGCCAGCAGCCGCGGUAAUACGUAGGUGGCAAGCGUUAUCCGGAUUUACUGGGUGUAAAGGGCGCGUAGGCGGGGAAGCAAGUCAGAUGUGAAAUCCAUGGGCUCAACCCAUGAACUGCAUUUGAAACUGUUUCUCUUGAGUGCUGGAGAGGUAGAUGGAAUUCCUAGUGUAGCGGUGAAAUGCGUAGAUAUUAGGAAGAACACCAGUGGCGAAGGCGAUCUACUGGACAGUAACUGACGCUGAGGCGCGAAAGCGUGGGGAGCAAACAGGAUUAGAUACCCUGGUA